CAAUUGCAUUUGAGGCAAAGACUAGCAUCAUGAAAGAUGAAGUCUAGACUCCCAUAUAGAGUUCCAUGUAAUCUUUUAUCAGUGACUCCACCUUAAGCUUCUAAUUUGAUCCCAUUCUUUCCAUGACUGACCAUAUGCAAGCAAAAUUCCUUGUAGGAGAUUGGCAUACUCAAAAUCUUGCAAAUGAUCAAAUUGCAAAAGUUAACCUCUUGCAUCUGCAAGUUUCAUUGACCAUUUAUCAUCCUACAAUCAUAGUUGGGCGCAAACUAGUUAUCCCUGUAAAUUCUCUCCAUUCACAGAUAAUGAAAACAUAUAUUUCUGCCAAAUAUUCCACCACCUAAUUGAGUCAAGAAAACCAGUCACUAGCACAAAGUUGCAAUGUUAAUUUCACUAAUUCAAGGAGUAAUGGAAGGAGUAAUUGGUAGAUGUGGCUCUAUCUUGUUUAUAACAAAUCCAUCUUUUGGUUUGUCUCCCUCGUUCAAGGAGAGAAACAAGAUUAGUGCAAUGGUCAUACAUGGAAGUACUUAAUUAAGUUACAUGAAUAGGAAAAUAGAUGUUUAACAUGACAAGGGAAGGGACACAAUUAUGUGUGCUUUUUGAGAAUGCAAGGAACAUGCUAGUGAUAAAUUAGCAACAAUAAGACUUUUGUUAACUGUUGUUACGCCUCAUUUUCAAUCUCAUCGAAUGUUAAAGCCUUCCAACAUUUCAUUGCUUGAUAUAAUAGUAUUUGUAUAAUUUUGCAUGAAAUAGUUAUAUAUUUUGUGGCACGAAG
rnacentral:lncRNA from 1 species